rnacentral:rRNA from 1 species
AACGAACGCUGGCGGCAUGCCUAACACAUGCAAGUCGAACGAGACCUUCGGGUCUAGUGGCGCACGGGUGCGUAACGCGUGGGAAUCUGCCCUUGGGUUCGGAAUAACGUUUGGAAACGAACGCUAAUACCGGAUGAUGUCUUCGGACCAAAGAUUUAUCGCCCAGGGAUGAGCCCGCGUAGGAUUAGCUUGUUGGUGAGGUAAAAGCUCACCAAGGCGACGAUCCUUAGCUGGUCUGAGAGGAUGAUCAGCCACACUGGGACUGAGACACGGCCCAGACUCCUACGGGAGGCAGCAGUGGGGAAUAUUGGACAAUGGGCGAAAGCCUGAUCCAGCAAUGCCGCGUGAGUGAUGAAGGCCUUAGGGUUGUAAAGCUCUUUUACCCGGGAUGAUAAUGACAGUACCGGGAGAAUAAGCCCCGGCUAACUCCGUGCCAGCAGCCGCCGUAAGAC